CGAACGCUGGCGGCAGGCUUAACACAUGCAAGUCGAACGCCCCGCAAGGGGAGUGGCAGACGGGUGAGUAACGCGUGGGAACAUACCCAACUCUACGGAAUAACUCAGGGAAACUUGUGCUAAUACCGUAUACGCCCUUCGGGGGAAAGAUUUAUCGGAGUUGGAUUGGCCCGCGUUGGAUUAGCUAGUUGGUGGGGUAAAGGCCUACCAAGGCGACGAUCCAUAGCUGGUCUGAGAGGAUGAUCAGCCACAUUGGGACUGAGACACGGCCCAAACUCCUACGGGAGGCAGCAGUGGGGAAUAUUGGACAAUGGGCGCAAGCCUGAUCCAGCCAUGCCGCGUGUGUGAUGAAGGCCUUAGGGUUGUAAAGCACUUUCACCGGAGAAGAUAA
rnacentral:rRNA from 1 species